rnacentral:rRNA from 1 species
GGGUGCGAUCAUACCAGCGUUAAUGCACCAGAUCCCAUUAGAACUCCGCAGUUAGGCGCGCUUGGGCUAGAGUAGUACUGGGAUGGGUGACCCCCCGGGAAGUCCUAGUGUUGCACCCG